GCUAGAGUGCAGGAGAGGAAGGUAGAAUUCCCGGUGUAGCGGUGAAAUGCGUAGAGAUCGGGAGGAAUACCAGUGGCGAAGGCGGCCUUCUGGACUGACACUGACACUGAGGUGCGAAAGCGUGGGUAGCAAACAGGAUUAGAUACCCUGGUAGUCCACGCCGUAAACGAUGUCGACCAGCCGUUGGGUGCCUAGCGCACUUUGUGGCGAAGUUAACGCGAUAAGUCGACCGCCUGGGGAGUACGGCCGCAAGGUUAAAACUCAAAUGAAUUGACGGGGGCCCGCACAAGCGGUGGAGCAUGUGGUUUAAUUCGAUGCAACGCGAAGAACCUUACCUACCCUUGACAUCCUGCGAACCCGGAAGAGAUUCCGGGGUGCCUUCGGGAGCGCAGAGACAGGUGCUGCAUGGCUGUCGUCAGCUCGUGUUGUGAAAUGUUGGGUUAAGUCCCGUAACGAGCGCAACCCUUGUCCUUAUUUGCCAGCACGUAAUGGUGGGAACUCUAAGGAGACUGCCGGUGACAAACCGGAGGAAGGUGGGGACGACGUCAAGUCAUCAUGGCCCUUACGGGUAGGGCUACACACGUGCUACAAUGGCCGGUACAAAGGGCUGCGAGCUCGCGAGAGUCAGCGAAUCCCUUAAAGCCGGUCUCAGUCCGGAUCGGAGUCUGCAACUCGACUCCGUGAAGUCGGAAUCGCUAGUAAUCGUGCAUCAGAAUGGCACGGUGAAUACGUUCCCGGGCCUUGUACACACCGCCCGUCACACCAUGGGAGUGGACUGCACCAGAAGUGGUUAGCCUAACUUGGAG
rnacentral:rRNA from 1 species